GAUGAACGCUGGCGGCGUGCCUAAUACAUGCAAGUCGAGCGAAUGGAUUAAGAGCUUGCUCUUAUGAAGUUAGCGGCGGACGGGUGAGUAACACGUGGGUAACCUGCCCAUAAGACUGGGAUAACUCCGGGAAACCGGGGCUAAUACCGGAUAACAUUUUGAACCGCAUGGUUCGAAAUUGAAAGGCGGCUUCGGCUGUCACUUAUGGAUGGACCCGCGUCGCAUUAGAUAGUUGGUGAGGUAACGGCUCACCAAGGCAACGAUGCGUAGCCGACUUGAGAGGGUGAUCGGCCACACUGGGACUGAGACACGGCCCAGACUCCUACGGGAGGCAGCAGUAGGGAAUCUUCCGCAAUGGACGAAAGUCUGACGGAGCAACGCCGCGUGAGUGAUGAAGGCUUUCGGGUCGUAAAACUCUGUUGUUAGGGAAGAACAAGUGCUAGUUGAAUAAGCUGGCACCUUGACGGUACCUAACCAGAAAGCCACGGCUAACUACGUGCCAGCCGCCGCCGUAA
rnacentral:rRNA from 1 species